UUUUGAUGCUAACAUAUUAACGUGAUUAAUAAUUCGAAUAUCGCAUGCUAUUGGAUAGAAGGAUUAAAACGAUGCUCAUUUUGUUCAAUGGAAUUUCAAGUUAUUAAGUGAAGAGCACUGUUUAUCUGAACUCAUAUCGGAGCGCUCGUUGAUCUAGGACGUACGCAAGUGGUUGCAGGCCAAAGGGGGAGGUUCCUUCGUGGAAGGUGGAAAUUCGCUGAGGUGUCUGCAUCCCGAGCCCAGGUCAUUCAGGUCGAAAGUUCGUCGGGCCAUACAUCUCUCUAUACAUAGAAACGAUUUACCUCUCUUCCCCCUUGAUGCUUCCACCCUUUCCUCUCUUUCUCGCGCAUCCUGUCCCGUGGACUGACAGCUGAAGCCAGAACUGACUGAAAUAUUCAUCGGCACAAGGCGAACGAGGCGCGACUGAACGUCGAUCUGUCAACCUCUUUGACUAUAUAAAUAUGGACUGCCAUCGAGCUUUUGCGCGUUAUAUAGAUUUAUAACAGAAAAAGAAGUAUUUUCAACAUUUUACGAUUAUCAAUGGAAAUUAUUUUAACAGAAAUUAAAAUUAGGAUCAAUGUUUGAAUUAGAAAAAAUGAUUUUUAUUUCUUCCAUUUUUUUCAGUGAUUUUUUUUUUUUACCAUUAGAUUUUGUAAAUAUUUUUUCAUAUUUUUAAUUAUAAAUACGUUUGUCAGAGUAUUAUCUAGGGAUGACGCUUUCGCCAUAGAUUUCAGGAAACGACAGAUCAUCAGGACUACUGAAAAAUUUAAAGAGACAAAGAUUUUGAAUCAUAAAAAUUAU